rnacentral:other from 1 species
AGCUUUUAUUAGGUUUCAGCAGUUAUCUUUCCUUAGGAAGAAGAGUGAGGAAGGGACCAAAGGGUGCAGCAGACUUUGAAACUUUGGAAAGUGUUGAGUACUCGAACUUACUUUUCCAUUUUACUUCAUCCUCCAAGGAGUGCAAUCACUUGGUGUGCCUUCUUCACUUCUUUUAAGCGAAAGAACAGCCAACAGGCAGC